GACGAACGCUGGCGGCGUGCCUAAUACAUGCAAGUAGGACGCAGUUGCGAACGGGUGGGUAACGCGUAGGUAACUACCUAUUAGAGGGGGAUAACUAUUGGAAACGAUAGCUAAUACCGCAUACUAGUAGAUGGACCUGCGUUGUAUUCGCUAUUUGGUUGGGUAAUGGCCUACCUAGGCAACGAUACAUAGCCGACCUGGAAGGGUGAGCGGCAACACCGGGGACGGAACACGGCCCAGACCCCUGCGGGAGGUGGCAGUAGGGAAUCUGCGGAAAUGGGGCGAACCCUGGACGGGCAACGGCGCGUGAGUGAAGAAGGUUUUGGGAUCGGAAAGCUCUGUUGUUAAGGAAGCGGUACUUAACCAGAAAGGGACGGCUAACUACGUGCCAGCAGCCGCGGUAAUUC
rnacentral:rRNA from 1 species